UACAGGAGGAUGCAAGCGUUAUCCGGAAUGAUUGGGCGUAAAGCGUCUGUAGGUGGCUUUUUAAGUCCGCCGUCAAAUCCCAGGGCUCAACUCUGGACAGGCGGUGGAAACUACCAAGCUGGAGUACGGUAGGGGCAGAGGGAAUUUCCGGUGGAGCGGUGAAAGUGCGGUAGAGAGUACGGAAAAGAACACCAACGGCGAAAGCACUCUGCUGGGCCGACACUGACACUGGAGAGACGAAAGCUAGGGGAGCGAAUGGG
rnacentral:rRNA from 1 species